rnacentral:rRNA from 1 species
CGUGUAGGCGGUUAGGUAAGUGGGACGUGAAAUCCCUCGGCUCACCCGAGGACCUGCGUCCCAAACUGCCUAGCUUGAGUAUGGGAGAGGAUGAGGGAAUUCCUGGUGUAGCGGUGAAAUGCGUAGAUAUCAGGAGGAACACCGGUGGCGAAGGCGCUCAUCUGGCCCAAUACUGACGCUGAGGCGCGAAAGCUAGGGGAGCAAACG